GGGAUGCUUGGAUGUGUCCCUUCAAACCAAGUCCACGUUUAAAAUUUGCUGAAUAGCGACAUUGUUUGGGAAAAAUACUCUGGCAGAAAAGAGUCUAAACUGUGGAUAGACAUCAGUCUGACAUCUGUGUGUUUAUUUCCAUAAGUGAAGUUUGUAUCAACUGACUGAAGGAUCAGUGUUAAAGGAUAACACUACAAUGAAAACAGCUGUGAGUUGUUUCUUUUGAAAAUGACUGCUUGAUGAUAAAGUUUCAAACAACUGUGAAGUGAGUGGAUGUUCUAGAGAGACUAAUUCUUCAAAGAAUGAAUGAUCAUCAUCAUGCUUAUAUUGGAAUAAAAGGAAGGAAGUGACAGCUACAGUCAGGGUAAAAGUAAAUGCAGUCAGAAGACCUUU